rfam:Rhodobacter sp. SW2 ctg00042, whole genome shotgun sequence.
CGACCGUCACAACGGCUUCCUGGCGUGGCGGAAUUUCCCAACGGAGCA